rnacentral:rRNA from 1 species
CCUACGGGAGGCAGCAGUGAGGAAUAUUGGUCAAUGGGCGGAAGCCUGAACCAGCCAAGUAGCGUGCGGGAUGACGGCCCUACGGGUUGUAAACCGCUUUUGCCCGGGGCUAACAGCCUCCACGUGUGGCGCUCUUCAGGUUACGUGCGAAUAAGGGCCGGCUAAUUCCGUGCCAGCAGCCGCCGUAAUAAGGAAGGCCGGAGCUUUAUCCGGAUUCUUUGGGUUUAAAGGGCGCGUAGGCGGGCGUUUAAGUCAGAGGUAAAAUCGAGGGGCCAAACCGCGCCCCGCCAUUGAAACUGGAGGCCUUGAGUGCACAACAGGCAGGCGGAAUGCGUGGUGUAGCGGUGAAAUGCAUAGAUAUCACGAAGAACCCCGAUUGCGAAGGCAGCCUGCCGGCUUGCGACUGACGCUGAGGCUCGAAGGUGUGGGUAUCAAACAGGAUUAGAUACCCUAGUAGUC